CUUUUGCGUUAACGAUAGAAGCGAUAUCCUUUUGCUCUUGCCAAUUUGCAAAUAGCAAAAAAAGAUUUAGCGGAUAGCGUGUUAAAAC
rnacentral:sRNA from 1 species